ACCUGAAUCAAGGGCUCCUCUUCUAUGGUCCCCUGGUCCAAAGCAACAGCGUGGGCUUCCUGAUCGGGGGCGGAAGACGAGGGACCAGCAGAGGCCACCGGAGGCAUCUGAUCAGGCCUCAUAAGGCGGUCGACGUACAAGACGACGUGAUCACUCAUGUUGAAUAUAGAAAUGGGAAUCCUCCACAAAGAGAGAUUGAAAAAUGGAUGGGAGAAAGACGAGGGUUAUUAGAAACCUUAGAUCACGCUAUUGCAAACAGCGGAUCGCAGGUUUCCC
rnacentral:misc_RNA from 1 species